CACGCCGUAAACGAUGGGUGCUAGGUGUCAUGGGCAUUGACUCCCAUGGUGCCGUAGCUAACGCAUUAAGCACCCCGCCUGGGAAGUACGGCCGCAAGGCUAAAACUCAAAGGAAUUGACGGGGGCCCGCACAAGCGGUGGAGCAUGUGGUUUAAUUCGACGCAACGCGAAGAACCUUACCUGGGCUAGAAAACAUAGGAACCUGGUAGAAAUAUCGGGGUGCUCUUCGGAGAAUCUAUGGUUAGGUGC
rnacentral:rRNA from 1 species